GGAUGAACGCUAGCGGCAGGCUUAACACAUGCAAGUCGAGGGGUAACAGGGGUAGCAAUACCUGCUGACGACCGGCAAACGGGUGCGGAACACGUACACAAUCUACCUUUAUCUGGGGCAUAGCCCGGAGAAAUCCGGAUUAAUUCCCCAUAAAUAACAGAGUGGCAUCACUUAAUUAUUAAAACUCCGGUGGAUAGAGAUGAGUGUGCGUCCCAUUAGCUAGUUGGUAAGGAAAGGCUUACCAAGGCGACGAUGGGUAGCUGGUGUGAGAGCACGACCAGCCACACGGGCACUGGAGACACGGGCCCACUCCUACGGGAGGCAGCAGUGAGGAAUAUUGGUCAAUGGACGCAAGUCUGAACCAGCCAUGCCGCGUGAAGGAUGAAGGUCCUUCUGGGUUG
rnacentral:rRNA from 1 species